rnacentral:rRNA from 1 species
UACGUAGGGAGCAAGCGUUGUCCGGAUUUACUGGGUGUAAAGGGUGCGUAGGCGGCUUUGCAAGUCAGGUGUGAAAACUAUGGGCUUAACCCAUAACGUGCACUUGAAACUGUGGAGCUUGAGUGGAGUAGAGGCAGGCGGAAUUCCCGGUGUAGCGGUGAAAUGCGUAGAGAUCGGGAGGAACACCAGUGGCGAAGGCGGCCUGCUGGGCUUUAACUGACGAUGAGGCACGAAAGCAUGGGUAGCAAACAGG